rnacentral:lncRNA from 1 species
AGGAUAAGUGAAGGCCAGAAAAGUGUUACCACGGAAAGGCUGCCUUGGGUAACUGAAGAAGUCUGGGAGACAGCGGUGAAGUCAGAAGCGAAUCACAUCUUUUGUCAGAGGUUGAUUAUGCUUAAAGCUGGGCUGCCUAAGUAGAAGGCUGCCUGCCACCUGCCUGCCACCUGCCUGCCACCUGCCUGCUGCCUACCUGAAUUUCUUCCUUCUCUCCCCACCCUUCCCCUUUCUUCCCACCCUCCUUUCCCUUCCCUUUCCUAACCUAACAUUUCCUUUUUUACCCUAUCCUUCUCUUCCCAACUUCUUCCUUUUGGCCCUCCUUCCUUCCUUCCUUUCCCCUCCCUCCCCGCUCUCUUUCCUUCCACUCAGUCCAUUUUCCUGGAAAUUUCAUUAAUUUUUAUGGUUGAAUUCCAUUACGUGUCUAUGUCCUACAUUUUCUUUAUCCAUUCGUCUGCUGAUGGACAUCUAGGCUGAUUCUAUUUCCUUGCCACUUUGACUAGAGCAUCAAUAGUCAAAUCCAUUGUGACCUGGGUCUUGUGGAGCAUGCCCAGUCAUAGGGAAAUGCUGUAGACAGUGCUGAUCCAAACUGAUGUGCUAGGCUUGGGUGCUAAGGAAAAACUCCUGGUUUUUGACCCAGCAAAGGAGCUGGUGAGUAACGAGGGAGCAGUGAAGCUACAGUGGGCAGAUACUUGAGAGAUGCCUCCUAAGGUUGGCAGAGGAUGAAAAUCUCAUGGCCAAGACAAGCUCCACUUGAUCUCUAUCCAAGAGCAGAGAGCCCAGCCACCUGCUCACCUCUCAUGUCUGGCACCACCGUCUGUUUAGAGCCAAACUCACAGUGGGGCAUGGAGUUGGGACAGCUCUGUGUUUGUACCUGUCUGUCCAUGGUGACAAAGAAGGAAUUAGAGACACAGGCAAGAUCUUGAACUCUAGUCACCAUAAGAGGCAAACUUAUGACAAAUCUCUGGACAGAAAGCAAUCUUAAUAUGGAUGGAAGAUGACUGGCUCAAGCCACCAGUCAGGAGGAGCCUGGAGUCUUCACCUCGGGCAGAUCAGUGCUGAAGGGCAGCGUUGGAGUCCUGGAGGGCCACACAGCUUGAAUGACUUUCCCUACACAGGGAGGGCUGAACUUUUCCUCGGAAGCUGUGUGUUGGGAGUGUGCUGGGGAGCAAACAGCCCAAAAUGCAGAUGACUGGAUGAGUCAGGAAGUGAUCUGUGGUGAGGUUUGCAGUGUCUGGAGUUUGAGGCCCCAGCCCCUGAACAAUUGCUUAGAGAUUUAAUGAUUGUUAUUAAGCCUACAUGUAUUCAAUUGGGGUUUUCUUUCUGGUAUUUUUUACAUGUUUCAGUCCUUCUAUACUAAAUAUACAGAAAUAAGCAAUGAGCCAUGUGUGAUGGUCUACAGAGGCAGGAGCAUCUCUGUGUUCGCCAUCAGCCUGGGCUAAAUUGCAGGUUCUAGUCCAGCCAGGGCCAUAUAGUGAGAUCUGUUUCCAAAGUAAAUAAGCAAAUAAGUGAAUGAAUAAAUAAAUAGAUGAAAUAAAC